CAAAUGGUCUCUAUGGGGCAGUUGAAAUCCCUGAGUGCUGAGCCACCCUCGGCACUAUCAGGCAGGAAGAGCAUGAGAGAGGAGGAAGAAAAGGAUGAGUGAGAACAGCAUGAACUUUUAGAAAAGAUAGAAGUCAAAAGGGCUGACAACUGAUAGUAAAGCCAUUCUCUCCUUGGAACUGUUUUACUCCUUUAUUCCAUGAGUGCUGCAAGUGUGCUCAGGUCUUUCAGUCCGUCAGCAAUGCCUGGCCCAGUCCUGCCGAUGGACAUGGCAAUGAGAUUCUAUAUCAGCCACUCUCCGCCUCCUCUCCGAGGUUUCCUCAGCACCUACGACGAGCUGCAGAGGACCAAGAAGAACCAGACCAGCCAGUCAACCAGGUGGAGCCACAACCAGAAGCUCUACAAACCCCUGCGGCCCUGCCUCAGCACCCAACAGAGAGCACUGGACGAUGGCGGCUGCACGGGCUGGAGCAAAGGCAAGGCUGGCAAAAAGAAGGUGGUGUUCGCAGACACAAGGGGCAUGUCACUCACCGUCAUCCACGUCUUUUCCAAGUUUGACGAUGAGCCAUAUCAAAACAAGCGUUGCAGCGGAAUCAGCGAGGAGCUGCAGUUUGACAUGUCAGACCUGGAAACGGCCACGAUGGACCUUAAGGUCAACUCGGUGCGCAACCUGGCGCUGGACUUUAAACAGCCUUCGGCCGACUACCUGGACUUCCGGAACCGUCUGAUUCAGAACUCGGUCUGCUUGGAGAACUGCUCGCUGCAGGAGCGCUCCCUGACCGGCACCAUCAAGGUCCGGAACAUGGGGUUUGAGAAGUCGGUGCAGUUGCGGGCCACCUUCGACUCGUGGGCAAGCUUCGUUGACAUUGAGUGCACCUUCAUGAACAACGUCUACAGCUGCCAGGAUACCGAUACCUUUGCGUUUGUCAUGGAGUUACCCGUCUACAUCCACCCACAGAAUAGUGUCGAGUUCUGCAUCUGCUUCAAAGCCCAGGGCCAGACCUUCUGGGACAAUAACGAUGGCAAGAACUACGUUCUCAAGCACAUCGGCUGGAACGGAGAGGACCUGAAUGUUCAGAGGCCCUCAACUUCUGUUGAGCAGAAAAAGCCUUCAGAGCACAAAAACGGGGCCGUGAAGGUGCUGGAGAUGGAGUUUGAUCAGUUUGGCAGCCCACGCAUGUCCAGCGGACUCUUUCCUGGCUGGCAGAGCUGGGGUCAGAUUGAUAACGCUGUGCCCUAUUGGUGAACGCAUCAGGAAGUUUGCUGAAAACGACAUUGGACAAAGAUAACAGACACUGACAGGGCAUUUAGUGCAAAUACAGCUGUGGGUUUGAGCUUAGACUGGCUUUUAGCCACAAAAUGAAAUUAAGCAAAUAACCCUUUUUUUAGCAGAGGAAGUGUACAAACCAAGACCUAAUGGUCUGUGGUUGGAGGAUGAGGGAUAAAUGGGAAAAAUCACACAUUUCACAUUUUUCUCCUUUGUAAAAUAUCAAUGUGCCUUCUCCGAGUGCCUGCCCACUAAAAUACAGACAAGUUGUACAGCCCACAACAAAUUCUGAGCCCCUUUUGAGGGCCUGAUGUCUCGGUGGAAAGUGGAAAGAGGAGCUGAUUAGGUCCUUCAUAUUGAAGGGAAAGUACUGAGGAGUGCAUGGCAACACAAUGCUUCUCUACCAAAGGAAAGACAGCUGAUUCAUUUCUAAUGAAAAAUGCACAGAAAACUUUUGCACGUUCAAAUGAGAAAGUAAUUUAACAUUAUAAAAAGUGGCCUUUUAUUAAUUUAAGGUCAUGCAGCCCAUUCUUUCUUUCCCUCUGUGAAAAUUGCACAUGUCUGAUGAAAGAUGUUUGAAUGAUGUAAUAUUAAGGUGAGUUUGCGUAGGAACUGAGCCGUUGUCAACAGACGUGUCUCAAGAGACUCUGCAUGUGAUUGGUUGUCUUGAACAAGGAAGACAUUUGGAAAUCUCGGUGGCUUCUGUAUGUCGAGAAAGG